AUCUAAAGAAGUUAGAUUCAUGAGACCAUUCUUUCGUAGACACAUCCUAAACGUUCUUGAUCAUAGGAUUGCCAAUUGGGCAUUGACAGUCCGUUAAGAUCAGUACGUGUUGUGUCUUCUCUCAAGGAGAGUGACUAGUCUCGAGUCAUUGGUGUGUGUGAUAUCAAGACAAGCAUGUAGGUGCUCAAUAAUGAAUGAGUCCACUAAACACGAUCAACGAGGAGUUCUCAUACUCAUGUCACAUGAGAACUCAUGGUUGGGAUAAUGCAAAGUAGUCCUUUGACCUGAGGCAUCAUAGUUGUCUUGUGGUUAAGUCUUUGAUCUUUGAUUAUGUCAAAGUCACUCCAUCAGGAGGGUGUCCACGGCAUCGUCGGGGUUAAGCCACUUAGCCAUGGAGGCAAGUGAAUGCGCAACAAGGGAUCUCUAACCUUCAAACCGUUUGGGGGAGAAUACUCUAUGAUAUGAUGAAGAAUCUCUGGCCAGAGUAUGAAUGAGAUUUAGGAAGUCGUUCCAAAUCACAUUCAAGGUAAUCAUAAAAGCACACGAAUCACAUUGGAUAGUAGACAUGAAUAAACUAUCAAACCAAACAAUGUGGUCAAGAGUAUUGUAUUAGAGAAAGACCGUAUUGAAUUUGUAAUCCUAAACUAAAUUGGUUCUCCACCUCUUCUGAUUAGCUUGGGUAACCAUGAUAUGCUGCUAGGUGUCACUCAUGGUUUAUGGAAGCCCUAAACAUGUAUAAUCACUAAAGGGAGAAUUGAAAGUAAGUUUCAAUUCACAAUCGAUUUGAAAUGGUUUUAAUCACCCACUGCCUUGCUAAAAGGAACUAAUGGAUCAUACACCGUGUAAGGUGGAGAUUGAAGAAACAAUGGAGAUGAGUAAGAAUAAUUAAAUGGUUUAAUUAUUUAUGG
rnacentral:lncRNA from 1 species